rnacentral:rRNA from 1 species
GUGGGGAAUAUUGGACAAUGGGCGAAAGCCUGAUCCAGCCAUGCCGCGUGUGUGAAGAAGGUCUUCGGAUUGUAAAGCACUUUAAGUUGGGAGGAAGGGCAGUAAGUUAAUACCUUGCUGUUUUGACGUUACCGACAGAAUAAGCACCGGCUAACUUCGUGCCAGCAGCCGCGGUAAUACGAAGGGUGCAAGCGUUAAUCGGAAUUACUGGGCGUAAAGCGCGCGUAGGUGGUUUUGUAAGUUGGAGGUGAAAUCCCCGGGCUCAACCUGGUAACUGACUCCAAAACUGCAUGACUAGAGUACGGUAGAGGGUAGUGGAAUUUCCUGUGUAGCGGUGAAAUGCGUAGAUAUAGGAAGGAACACCAGUGGCGAAGGCGACUACCUGGACUGAUACUGACACUGAGGUGCGAAAGCGUGGGGAGCAAACAGGAUUAGAAACCCCAGUAGUCC